rnacentral:rRNA from 1 species
GAUGAACGCUGGCGGCGUGCCUAAUACAUGCAAGUCGAGCGAACAGAUGAGGAGCUUGCUCCUCUGACGUUAGCGGCGGACGGGUGAGUAACACGUGGAUAACCUACCUAUAAGACUGGGAUAACUUCGGGAAACCGGAGCUAAUACCGGAUAAUAUAUUGAACCGCAUGGUUCAAUAGUGAAAGACGGUUUUACUGUCACUUAUAGAUGGAUCCGCGCCGCAUUAGCUAGUUGGUAAGGUAACGGCUUACCAAGGCAACGAUGCGUAGCCGACCUGAGAGGGUGAUCGGCCACACGGGAACUGAGACACGGUCCAGACUCCUACGGGAGGCAGCAGUAGGGAAUCUUCCGCAAUGGGCGAAAGCCUGACGGAGCAACGCCGCGUGAGUGAUGAAGGUCUUCGGAUCGUAAAACUCUGUUAUUAGGGAAGAACAAAUGUGUAAGUAACUAUGCACGUCUUGACGGUACCUAAUCAGAAAGCCACGGCUAACUACGUG